rnacentral:tRNA from 1 species
GGAUGGGUGGCAGAGCGGUUUAAUGCACCGGUCUUGAAAACCGGAGUAGUCGUAAGGCUACCGUGGGUUCGAAUCCCUCCCCAUCCGC